rnacentral:lncRNA from 1 species
AUGAAAAAGAAAAAAAAGCAAAUUUUAAACGGCAGUGUAAAAACUUUGUUAUUGUUGACAAUAAGUUGAUGAAUUGCAAAAAAGGUAUUCGUGAGGUGAUUGUAAUAAUAGAUCAGGAAGAUUAAACAUUGUUAAAGAAGUCCAUGAGGGUCUUGGAACAUCUGAGGAAGCUGUUGCAUUAGCUAGCUACUUAGGCAUUAAUGCUGUGAGAAAGCAAAUUUCUACAAGAUUUUUUUUGGCAUUCAAUUGUGGAGGAUAUCACCAAACAUGUGAACGAUGCUAAAAAACCUCUAACAAAAACCUAAAAGUGUCUACUGCUUUAAAACCUGUUAAAGUAGAACAACAAGUUAUGAAACAAGUUGGUGUAGAUUUAAUUAAAUUACCUGAAUCAAAUGGACUCAAUUAUUUAAUUGUCUUUAUAGAUUAUUUUUCAAAGUGGACGGAAGCUGAACCUUUUAUCGACAAAACAGCAGUAUCAGUAGCAGCCUUUCUCUAUAGAGUUAUUUACAGGCAUGGUUGUUUUCAAAUACAAAAUAAUGACCAAGGUCGUGAAUUUGUUAAAUCAGUAUCCAUUGCACUACAUGAUAUGAUAGGCGUUCAGCAACGUGUAACCUCUGCUAACCAUCUACAAGCCAAUGACCUUGUGGAGAGACAGAACCAGACAAUUAAGAAAGCAAUUAAUAAGAUCUUAAAUGAAAAUGCUAAAAGUUGGGCCUCAGUUUUAGAUGGAAUCUUUUUUGCUUUACGUAUUAAAGUGCACGAUUCAACAGGGUAUUCACUAUUUUACCUUAUGUAUAACCGAUAACCCUGUCUUCCAAUUGAUGUAAAGUACACAGAUGUACUCAAUGGGGAUAAUUAUAAUCUUGUAUUUGAUAAAGAAGUUUUACAAAAAGCUUUACAAAUGAAAAGAGGACUUGAAGAAAAAGCAAUGACCAAUGUUGUUUGUGCACAAAAGAAACAAAAAAUAGACUAUGAUAGAAAGCAUGAAACACUACCAAACUAUUUUGUGUUUCAAAAAGUACUAUUGAGAAAUCUAAAAAGAGAAAAUAGAAAAAGUUGAAAAAUGACUUUCGCGUGGCUUGGUCCAUAUGAAAUACUUGAUAUUUUGUCAAACUCAACAUGUUUAUUAAAAAAUAUUGAAGGGAAAAACACAUUAAAGAAGAAGUACUCUUUACAUCGUGUUAAACCACUUGUUGAAAAGAAAAGUAAUUCAAAAUUGCAUAGUUUAAUUUCUGAGUACAACGAUCAGGAUAAUAGUCAACGUAAUUCCAAAUUAAUGAAACAUCCCUCCAAAUUAAUGAAACAUUCCAAAUAAAUUCUUCAAAAAAUAGCUGAAGAACAAGGACUUAUAAUAUUUAUAAUGCCAGAUCUUUUUGAUGGAGAAGAAAAUGAUGUACCUCCAAAAAUACAUGUUUGCAACAGUGAUGGAAAUUGUUUUUUUCGAGCAAUUUUGUUUUGCUGACAGGUUCUGAGUGUCAACAUAUACGUGUUUGCGAUGUUGUUGUUAAACAUGGUAUCAAAACCUUGUUCCAGUCUUUAGUCUGGAUAUUAAGGCGAUGAUGUGAAAAACUACAUUACUAAAAGUGGAAUGGCCACAGAUAGUAUAUGGGCUACAGAUGUUGAGAUCCUUGGUACUGCAAAUCUUAUUGAAACUGACAUUGCUGUAUGGUCCUUCACUAGACAAAAACUAACAUAGCUCAAAUAUCCAGCAUCCAUGAAACAUAAAAUGAU